GACAUCUUUGGCUGCUGACCCCUUUUAAUGGAGCUAGGAGUUAACCAGUGAUGGAUUGCAUUCACCUGAGGGCAGCUCCAUUGCUGACCUGGCAGGAAAGGCUGUGAUUUAAAAGCCUGCUGAGUAUGUGUAGAUAGUGGAGGAGUCGCUGCGAGUGCUCUGAAGGAGAGGACCUGAAUUCAAAGUGAUUCUAACAAAUUGGUGAGCUGGCUCAAGAUCAAGCACCUGAAAGUAAAUAAAGAGAAGGACAAAUCACUGACUUCAGGAAAGAGGAGGGCAAAUGCCCUGUGGUCCCUCCCCUGCCUGUAACAGGUACUCCCAAGCCUGCACAUGACAGGGAGAAAAUGGGAGCAUGUGGGUUUCCCUGUAGAAACCCUGGGCAUCUGCCUUGUGACGGUCUGCCACAACCUAAACUGGACCUUCUGGAUUAUCAGAUCAGCCUAGAUUAUGGGAUCAGCAUGACCAACACCCUACUCUAGUUUUAAUAGGCUUAAAAUCACUGAUUCGAAUAGAGCAUUGCUACUGUAUCCCAGGGGGAACUGGGCUCUAGGGCAGGAGAUGGCAUCCUUCUGCAUUCCUUUGCACUAAGCAAAAAACAAGUGCAUCUUCAGAGGCUCUGGUGGGGAUUUUUAUUUGCAAUGCUGCAGUAUUAAUGGUAAUGAUUAUGGAAAUCAGUGCUGGGUUAAUGCCAAGAAAUUCAGGCUCUUUUUCAAGAUUUUAUUUCCAAAAAUUGAGUGAGCAUAACUUUGGGUUCUGCACUGGUGCAAGCAGAGGAUGGAGGGUUUAAAUAAAUAAAGGAUUUCUUUGACAGAAACUGUUUGAAUCCCAUGAACCUUAUAGUGACAUGGUGUAGAAGCAUCUUAACACUAGGUUCUUUGAGCAAGUUCAGUGUUCCUAGAUAAACGAAAACAAGGGAAAAGAAAUGCUUUUGAUACGUGGCGUGAAUUCAUGGAAAUUCUCUUUCUCUACUGCAAACGCUUUCUAAAGCUUGAAUGAGUCUGCAGCAUCCAAGUUGUUCCUCCCCUCUUGCUGGUCUGUGUGCAAGUCAGCUUUCCUGGCUUGUUUUUCCCUCCCAGUAAUGCUUUGAUGAUGUAGUUUCCAAAACAAAACAACAGCUAUCAGAGCAGCCCUGUGCAGAGCCCCAACAAGAAGCCAGUUUGUGCACUAGAGCAGGAAUGCUUGAUGACAAUGGGCUUCUGCUGUAUUUUUCCAUGAGCUUAUUUACUACAGGCAAUCUGAGGACUACUUUUGGGGGUUAGUUUGGGGUUUUUAACUAACAAAAAGACAUACCAUGGCAAAAAGCAUGGUUUAUGCAGUCAGGUGAUGCAACCUGUGGUACGACAUUACCAAAGAGUUUAAUAGUACUUUACCAGCAUCUUAAAUUGAUAUGUAGCACUGUGCUAUGUUGUCACUGAUCAGCAAACUCAUUAACACAAUGAAUAUUGAAUAAGUGCUCAAGAUCAAAUAAUUAUGUGCAUUGCUUGUGUUUCUGUUUUGUCACCAAAGACUCAUUGACUCAAGUAGGGUAGGUUUUACAGUACUUACUCUCAGUAUGAAAAUCUGUAUACUAGCUGGGUAGCUAUGCAGGAAUCAUGCUUGGGAUUUACUCAUGCACACAUUUAGGAGACACUCAUAAUUAUCUCUGUCCUUAGUAUAGUCCCAAACCUUAUCCAACACCCAUGACAUUCAGCAGCUUUCUACUGAAGCACUAAUCUGCCUUCUCCAGGGAGGGGCAUGCAUGCGACUGCACAUCUCUGUAUUUUAGUGAAUUUACCAAAGUUGGGUCUCUUGCAGACUGAGUGCAGGGGGUGAGGACUAGGAAAAAGCUCUAGGAUAAAGAGAAUUUCCCAUGCAAAACCAGCCAGAUAAAAUAUCCUGGCUUUCUUGCUCUCACUGCUUGCGAUGGGCCACAUCCAUACACAAGAGUUCCUGAGCGGCUGCAACUCCAGCUGUAAAACAGUGGCCUGGAAUUGAAGUUUUGCCAGACCUCUUGUAUCAUGGGGACUGUAAAGUUGGAUUCAAGAUAGCUAUUGGAAAAACAGCUAUUUCAGAUGCAGCAGUAAACUGAAAUGCAAUUAAAUUUAGCUUGAUGCAGUGU